AGAGUUUGAUCAUGGCUCAGGACGAACGCUGGCGGCGUGCUUAACACAUGCAAGUCGAACGAGAAUCUGUGGAAAGAGGAUUCGUCCAAUUGAAGCAGAGGACAGUGGCGGACGGGUGAGUAACGCGUGAGGAACCUGCCUUUCAGAGGGGGACAACAGUUGGAAACGACUGCUAAUACCGCAUGACAUAUAGAUGUCGCAUGGCAUUUAUAUCAAAGAUUUAUCGCUGAAAGAUGGCCUCGCGUCUGAUUAGCUAGUUGGUGAGGUAACGGCCCACCAAGGCGACGAUCAGUAGCCGGACUGAGAGGUUGAACGGCCACAUUGGGACUGAGAUACGGCCCAGACUCCUACGGGUGGCAGCAGUGGGGAAUAGUGGGCAAUGGGCGCAAGCCUGACCCAGCAACGCCGCGUGAAGGAAGAAGGCUUUCGGGCUGUAAACUUCUUUUGUCAGGGACGAGUAGAAGACGGUACCUGACGAAUAAGCCACGGCUAACUACGUGCCAGCAGCCGCGGUAAUACGUAGGUGGCAAGCGUUGUCCGGAUUUACUGGGUGUAAAGGGCGUGUAGCCGGGAGGGCAAGUCAGAUGUGAAAUCCACGGGCUCAACUCGUGAACUGCAUUUGAAACUACUCUUCUUGAGUAUCGGAGAGGCAAUCGGAAUUCCUAGUGUAGCGGUGAAAUGCGUAGAUAUUAGGAGGAACACCAGUGGCGAAGGCGGAUUGCUGGACGACAACUGACGGUGAGGCGCGAAAGCGUGGGGAGCAAACAGGAUUAGAUACCCUGGUAGUCCACGCUGUAAACGAUGAAUACUAGGUGUGCGGGGACUGACCCCCUGCGUGCCGCAGCUAACGCAAUAAGUAUUCCACCUGGGGAGUACGAUCGCAAGGUUGAAACUCAAAGGAAUUGACGGGGGCCCGCACAAGCGGUGGAUUAUGUGGUUUAAUUCGAAGCAACGCGAAGAACCUUACCUAGACUUGACAUCUCCUGCAUUACCCUUAAUCGGGGAAGUUCCUUCGGGGACAGGAAGACAGGUGGUGCAUGGUUGUCGUCAGCUCGUGUCGUGAGAUGUUGGGUUAAGUCCCGCAACGAGCGCAACCCUUAUUGUUAGUUGCUACCAUCUAGUUGAGCACUCUAGCGAGACUGCCCGGGUUAACCGGGAGGAAGGUGGGGAUGACGUCAAAUCAUCAUGCCCCUUAUGUCUAGGGCUACACACGUGCUACAAUGGCAAGUACAAAGAGACGCAAUACCGCGAGGUGGAGCAAAACUCAAAAACUUGUCUCAGUUCGGAUUGUAGGCUGAAACUCGCCUACAUGAAGCUGGAGUUGCUAGUAAUCGCGAAUCUGCAUGUCGCGGUGAAUACGUUCCCGGGCCUUGUACACACCGCCCGUCACACCAUGAGAGUUGGCAAUACCCAAAGUGCGUGAUCUGACUCGCAAGAGAGGAAGCGCCCUAAGGUAGGGUCAGCGAUUGGGGUGAAGUCGUAACAAGGUA
rnacentral:rRNA from 1 species